rnacentral:lncRNA from 1 species
CUUACCAAUUCCACAACUCCCUUCAUACACAAAUAGCAUACACACAUUAAACCACAGACUGAACAAACACCUAUAUAUAUUCAUCUCCUUUGAUCACCAAAGAAUAUCAUCUCUACUAUUGUAGCCUAUAGUACACCAAAGGAACAAAUUAAAGAAAGAAUAUAAGUCGGUAGCUCAAUUUUCAUUCUUGUUUUGAUUGAGCUAUGGCAGAAUCCCACUUGAACGGAGCCUAUUAUGGACCCUCCAUUCC